rfam:Triticum aestivum genome assembly, contig: Triticum_aestivum_CS42_TGACv1_scaffold_489308_6AS
AAAGUACUCCCUCCGUCCCAAAAAUUUUGUCUUAGAUUUGUCUAGAUACGGAUGUAUCAAGUCACAUUUUAGUAUUAGAUACAUCCGUAUCUAGACAAAUCUAAGACAAGAAAUUUGGGAUAAAGGGAGUAGUUG